rnacentral:lncRNA from 1 species
CGUGUAUUUUUUUAUGUUGUGAUGUUAUACUAUUGUUUCAGAAAAAAGGAGAAGGUUUGGUACCAUUAAAACGUUUAAUCCCGCUGCAAAUGUUUGCACCUGUCCUAAGUCAGGAAUCUGAUGUACAGUAGUUGUCGUUUGUUUAUGUAAUUUAUACGUGUUUCUCGUUUCUCGUUUUUUUUUAUAUAGAUAAGACCGUUGGUUUU